rnacentral:tRNA from 1 species
GGAGGGAUGCCCGAGUGGCCAAAGGGAGUAGACUGUAAAUCUACCGAUCGUGAUGAUCUACGAAGGUUCGAAUCCUUCUCUCUCCA